rnacentral:lncRNA from 1 species
CUGGCAAGAGUGUUUUCCAAGAUAAUAACUGCCAAUUAAACAAAACAAGCAAAAGCAUGGCACAGUGCUGUAUAAAAGAUAUCUGUAAGCAAGCUGCCCCAUGUACCAGAUGCAGUUCAGCAUGCUGCCACAUGCUCUGCCUCCCUCCUGAGAAAAGAGACACAGCAGCCCAGGAGGACUGCAUGCACACAAGGCCACCACGCACCCAGCCUACAGGAUUUCAGUGA